AGUUACAUUUAAAUACACAUUGUGCAUUUGAAGGUUGACCUCACCUGGCCUACUUAUUCCUUCUUUCUUCAUAUGAAUGAGCUCCUGGUGUCACGGCCUGACCAUAGAGAGCCCUUGUUUCUCUAUGGUGUAGUAGGUCAGGGUGUGACUAGGGAGUAUUCUAGUUUCUCAUUUCUAAUUUGUGUUCUAGUUUAUAUUUUCUAUGUUGGUGUUUUGCAUGAUUUCCAAUUAGAGGCAGCUGGUAAUCGUUGUCUCUAAUUGGGGAUCACAUUUAAGUAGCUAUUUUUCCCACCUGUGUUUGUGGGAUAUUAUGUUGUGUUUGUGCCUGUGCACAACGUAGUCACGGUUCAUCGGCCGGUUAUUGAGUUAUUGUUUUUAAGUUUCACUUUUGAAAUAAAUAUGUGGAACUUAACCUCCGCUGCGCCUUGCUCCCGUUCUUACGACAACCGUGAAACCUGGAAUUAAAACUCAUAUCAUAUGAUUAGAUAAGAGACUGAAUUAACCAACUGAUGAGGUGGUGCAUCAUUCUACAGAAAAGACCUGAGCACCUAAUCUCUCGUGACCUACUGAGGAGUGUCUUCCAUCUGGCCACUCUACCAAAAAGGCUUGAAUGGUGGAGUACUAAAGAGAUGGUUGUCUUCUGGAUGGUUCGCCCAUCUCCACAGAGGAACUCUAGAGCUCUGUCAGAGUGGCCAUCGGGCUCUUGGUCACCUCCCCUGACCAAGGCCCUUCUCCCUCGAUUGCUCAGUUUGACCGGGCGGCCAGCUCUAGGAUGAGUCUUGGUGGUUCCAAUCUUCUUCCAUUUAAGAAUGAUGGACACUACUGUGUUCUUGGUACCCUUCCCCAGAUCUGUGCCUCGAUUACAAUCCUGUCUCGGAGCUCUAUGGACAAUUCCUUCGACCUCAUGGCUUGAUUUUUGCUCUGACAUGCACUGUCAACUGUGGGACCUUAUAGACAGUUGUGUGCCUUUCCAAAUCAUGUCCAAUAAAUUGAAUUUACCACAUGUGGACUCCAAUAAAGUGUCAUAGCAAAGAGUCUGAAUACUUAGGUAAACAAUGUAUUUUUGUAUUUUUUUUAAAAUAGAUAUGCAAAAAUGUAAAAAAAAAAACAGUUUUCGCUUUGUCAUUAUGGGGUAUUGUGUAUAAAUGGAUGAUAAAAAAAAAAUCAAUUUUAGAAUAAGGCAUACAUACAUAACAUGUGGAAAAAGUCUAGGGGUCUGAAUACUUUCCAAAGGCACUGUAUAUUAUGUGGUUUAUGGACAUGUUCU
rnacentral:lncRNA from 13 species